GGCCGCCGCCGCCGCCGCCGCCCAGCGCACACGGCAAGGCCCCGCUGCAGGCCCCUCCCCCGCGCCUCGCCGCCCUCACCCCGACUCCACGCGCCGCUCUAGCUCGACUGGAAGGUCCUCUGCUCCCACAGCACACAGGUUCUCCCUCAGAGGAGCAGCAUGGAGGGAAGAUAAUCAACAUGGCUGGUUUUCCAUCUGGCACAUAAACCAGCAGUGGCUGUGGGCAUGUGAGUAUUUGCUGGGCGUUGACCUGCUCAUUUUCUCAUAAAUGGGUUUUUAGAAAUUCUGAGAUGUGCACUCCCAAAAUUAAGAUCAAUUCUAUUGAUGGUUCGUGUGUGUGUGUGUGAAAGAGCAAACUUCUCUGUCUGAAAUUGGUUGCAAUUGGUGAUAGAUUAUAGUACAUGUGGGCAAAGCAUCUUGAAAUAACAUUUCCUUCUAAUUAUUGACUUACUUGAACCUUGUCUGAAAAGGAAAAAAAUAGAAAAUACAGGACUUAGAUUGAAUAUUAAGUACAAACAUAUAACUCAAAUCCCUUAAACUGUUAAGAUUUAAUUUUUUCAUAUUUUAUGUUUAAUUAUUUUGCCAUACUAGGACUUGAACUCAGGGUAUACACCUUGAGCUACUCCACCUUGAGCCACUCCACCAGUCCUUUUUUGUGAUGGGCUUUUUUGAGAUAGGGUCUCAUGGAACUGUUUGCCUGGGGCUGGCUUCAAACUGCAAUCCUCCUGAUCUCAGCCUCCUGAGUAGCUAGGAUUACAGGUGUGAGCCACCAGCACCCAACUUAUGUUUAUUACUUGGAAAUAACAGCAUUAGGGUGUCAGAGCUUGCAAAAAUACAGGAUGCCAGUUAAAAAUAUUUUAACAGACUUUAUAUUUU
rnacentral:lncRNA from 1 species